rnacentral:rRNA from 1 species
AUUGAACGCUGGCGGCAGGCCUAACACAUGCAAGUCGAACGAGUGGCGGACGGGUGAGUAAUGUCUGGGAAACUGCCCGAUGGAGGGGGAUAACUACUGGAAACGGUAGCUAAUACCGCAUAACAUUGGAUGUGCCCAGAUGGGAUUGGCUAGUAGGUGGGGUAACGGCUCACCUAGGCGACGAUCCCUAGCUGGUCUGAGAGGAUGACCAGCCACACUGGAACUGAGACACGGUCCAGACUCCUACGGGAGGCAGCAGUGGGGAAUAUUGGACAAUGGGCGCAAGCCUGAUGCAGCCAUGCCGCGUGUAUGAAGAAGGCCUUCGGGUUGUAAAGUACUUUCAGCAGGGAGGCGUUACCCGCAGAAGAAGCACCGGCUAACUCCGUGCCAGCCGCCGCGGUAAUUC